rnacentral:rRNA from 1 species
AUUGAACGCUGGCGGCAGGCCUAACACAUGCAAGUCGAACGAGCCGCGGACGGGUGAGUAAUGUGUGGAACUCUGCCCGCUUGUGGGGGAUAACUACUGAAAACGGUGGAUUAUACCGCAUCCUGUCGGAUGGGCCCAUAUGGGAUUAGCUAGUAGGUGGGGUAAAGGCUCACCUAGGCGACGAUCGCUAGCUGGUCUGAGAGGUUGAUCGGCGACACGGGAAAUUAGAAAUGGCCUAGACUCCGACGGGUGGCAGGAGUGGGGAAUAGGGCACAAUGGGCGCAAGCCGGAUGCAGCCAGGCCGAGGGUAUGAAGAAGGCCUUAGGGUUGUAAGGUAUUUUCAGCUGGGAGGCGUUACCCGCAGAAGAAGCACCGGCUAACUCCGUGCCAGCAGCCGCGGUAAUUC